GGGGAUAACUACUGGAAACGGUAGCUAAUACCGCAUAAUGUCGCAAGACCAAAGAGGGGGACCUUCGGGCCUCUUGCCAUCGGAUGUGCCCAGAUGGGAUUAGCUUGUUGGUGGGGUAACGGCUCACCAAGGCGACGAUCCCUAGCUGGUCUGAGAGGAUGACCAGCCACACUGGAACUGAGACACGGUCCAGACUCCUACGGGAGGCAGCAGUGGGGAAUAUUGCACAAUGGGCGCAAGCCUGAUGCAGCCAUGCCGCGUGUAUGAAGAAGGCCUUCGGGUUGUAAAGUACUUUCAGCGGGGAGGAAGGGAGUAAAGUUAAUACCUUUGCUCAUUGACGUUACCCGCAGAAGAAGCACCGGCUAACUCCGUGCCAGCAGCCGCGGUAAUACGGAGGGUGCAAGCGUUAAUCGGAAUUACUGGGCGUAAAGCGCACGCAGGCGGUUUGUUAAGUCAGAUGUGAAAUCCCCGGGCUCAACCUGGGAACUGCAUCUGAUACUGGCAAGCUUGAGUCUCGUAGAGGGGGGUAGAAUUCCAGGUGUAGCGGUGAAAUGCGUAGAGAUCUGGAGGAAUACCGGUGGCGAAGGCGGCCCCCUGGACGAAGACUGACGCUCAGGUGCGAAAGCGUGGGGAGCAAACAGGAUUAGAUACCCUGGUAGUCCACGCCGUAAACGAUGUCGACUUGGAGGUUGUGCCCUUGAGGCGUGGCUUCCGGAGCUAACGCGUUAAGUCGACCGCCUGGGGAGUACGGCCGCAAGGUUAAAACUCAAAUGAAUUGACGGGGGCCCGCACAAGCGGUGGAGCAUGUGGUUUAAUUCGAUGCAACGCGAAGAACCUUACCUGGUCUUGACAUCCACGGAAGUUUUCAGAGAUGAGAAUGUGCCUUCGGGAACCGUGAGACAGGUGCUGCAUGGCUGUCGUCAGCUCGUGUUGUGAAAUGUUGGGUUAAGUCCCGCAACGAGCGCAACCCUUAUCCUUUGUUGCCAGCGGUCCGGCCGGGAACUCAAAGGAGACUGCCAGUGAUAAACUGGAGGAAGGUGGGGACGACGUCAAGUCAUCAUGGCCCUUACGACCAGGGCUACACACGUGCUACAAUGGCGCAUACAAAGAGAAGCGACCUCGCGAGAGCAAGCGGACCUCAUAAAGUGCGUCGUAGUCCGGAUUGGAGUCUGCAACUCGACUCCAUGAAGUCGGAAUCGCUAGUAAUCGUGGAUCAGAAUGCCACGGUGAAUACGUUCCCGGGCCUUGUACACACCGCCCGUCACACCAUGGGAGUGGGUUGCAAAAGAAGUAGGUAGCUUAACCUUCGGGAGGGCGCUUACCACUUUGUGAUUCAUGACUGGGGUGAAGUCGUAACAAGGUAACCGUAGGGGAACCUGCGGUUGGAUCACCUCCUUACCUUAAAGAAGC
rnacentral:rRNA from 1 species